GCUGUCCAUGGAGAGGAUUAGUGCAGUGCUCCGGAGACCAGGCUCAGAGCCCAUGAGGGCAACUUAGCACAGGGCAAGGCGCCUGCCUGGACUCUGCUGUGCGUCUCCCUGUGCAAGUGCUUCUGUCACUCGGACACUGUCUAGUGUGGGCGUCACCACAGACUAUUAAAGGGACUUCCUGACCUAGGACUGCUGGCCUGCAAAACUGUGGGCUAAAGAAAACUCUGUAUGAAGUACCCAGCGGCAAGUAUGUUGCUAUAGUAACAGAAAACUAAGCUCCAGAUGCCCUGGUACAAACAGCUCUCCGUCUCCAACCGCCAAACCUGCUCAUUGUUCAUCUUCUCACCACCAGCCAUCAAGUGGAAACCAAGGUUCAACACCGGGUCUCCAUGACACCUCUGAUCUCGCUCCUUCCAGUCAGUUGAUAGUGAUCACAUAUCACUUUAUAAUUAAAACACCAAUUGUGAGAACAGAAGUUACAGUCUCCAAAAGAGAAAUGGAACAACUUUACCAGGACAUCUAUGCCUUAUACCAAGGUAUGGAGAAUAAAGCGUCUGACAGAAGCUGAUUUAAACACCAAGGGCCUCUGACCAGACCAUCACCUCUCUCUGGGCAGGUCCUCUCAACCCAUCUGCCUUCUUCUUCUGCUUUAGCACAGGGGUUGAACCCAAGGCCUUCACACUGAGCUACAUCCCCAGCCCUUUUUAUUUUUUGAGACAGUCUCACUAAAUUGCCCAGACUGGGCUCCAGCUUGGGACCCUCCAGCCUCAGCCUCCCAGAGUGCUGGGAUCACAGGCAUGCACCCCCACGCUAGCCCCUCACCUGCUGUUUAGGAGGCCCCCCAGGUGAGCACACUAGGCUAGAGGGGCGCGAGGGUGUGACUGCUGGGUCCCAGCCUCCAGAACUGGACCAGAAAGGAGAGAUUAAACAUAUUCACAGGAACACUCACCCACGACCGGGAGGGGCACACAGAGUGUAUGUGGGGGUUUCCCUGCCUCCAUCCCCUCAAGCUGGUGUGGCCCACCUCUAAAAUGAGGUUACUCUGAGGUGGAGUCCUUUCCACAAUACAGUCUUUGGGGUGAGGCUUUCGGGAAGAAAACCGAACCCAAUCUGCCAUUCAGCACCGAAAGGGACCCACUGCUACACGGGGAGGAGCAAAGCCCCAGUCCUGAUCAGAGCAAUCCCGGGUGGAACUAGAGGGAAGCUCCAGGCACCUCAAGUCUGCCGCGAUUAAGCCGAGCCCAAGCAGGAAGGUCACCUUGCAAAUGAGUAUUUAAGGGGGCGGGUAACCAAGGCACAACAUUCAAUAGGUCUGGUUAACGAGUAACCGGAUUUCCCUUUUCCGCUGAAAUCAAGCUCAGCCUGUACCGGGGAUAGCGCCAUCCCCAGCCCCUGCUCCGUAAACGUGAAGGAGGAGCCCAGUAGGCAGAGGCGGCUCCCUCAGAAACGUCUGAAUCACAAGGCGGUGAAUCACCUGCACCCACUUUUAAGUUUCGCACACCCUGACCUUCGCUCCUGGAUUCUAGACGCUCCACACUGUAAAAGACAGAGGCGAGCGGACAGAUGUUCACAGCUCAGUGCUUCCCAGCUUUACACAAAAGCCUAGAUUCUGAUGCUGUUCCAGCUAGACCGGGUGGGGGCAGGUUUUAAGCUCACACCCCAACGCCCUCUUCCUCACUCGAGAGGACCAGAACCACACACGUCCGUCCAGUUUGUGGCUCUUUCACGAGGCCUUUAGGAAGAGGGUGAAAACAGCUGAGGCCUGCGGAUCGCGGGAAAGUCACGCCGCCCUAAGGACACCGGGUUGCGUCUCCCUCCCACGGUAGGGGCUCAGCACCCCGGAGGCCAGCAGGGGCUCUGAACACCUGCCCGGACCAACCCGGCCACGGCACCCGGCGACGCCGGCGCAGCACACCCGGGCGACACACCUGCCAGAGUGGCCGCAGAGGGAGGCUGGCGAGGGCACCGGACGCUGCCCAGGCUCGCUCCUGGCCGCUGUUCCCAGGCUGACGGCCUGCGUGCCAGAGACCAGUGGCCACCAGUGUGCGCUUCGGGUGACGCGAAAGAAGGGGCUGAAACCCCGGGGCCACCGGGGAAUGUCACCCCUAACCACAGCACCGUAGGAAGCUGAGGCAGGAGAAUCUCAACCCGGGUGUCCUUAGG
ensembl:lincRNA